rnacentral:rRNA from 1 species
GACGAAGGUGGCGAGCGUUGUUCGGAAUCACUGGGCAUAAAGCGCACGUAGGCGGUGUCGUAAGUCGGAUGUGAAAUCCCUCGGCCUAACCGAGGAACUGCGUCCGAUACUGCGAUGCUUGAGGACCAGAGGGGUGCAUGGAAUUUCCGGUGGAGCGGUGAAAUGCGUUGAUAUCGGAAGGAACUCCGGCGGCGAAAGGCGAUGCACUUGGCUGGU